rnacentral:lncRNA from 1 species
AUGCAGGUGGCUUCUUGGGCAUGUGCUAUUUUCCCGAGACUAGAGUACUGGAAGGUACUACCAAGAGUAAGCUGCGAAACUAUUUGUGUGACUUUCUGGAUUCAAAGUUCAUAUUCUUCAGUGAAGAGGAGUCUGAAGGCAAGGAUGAAGACUCUGCUGAAGAGUUUGAAGAAUCUGAAAGCAAGCGAGAGGAUGACGAUGAAGAAAGAGGACGCAGAAAGGAUCGCCACUCAAAAGGCAGCUUCUUUUAGGAAGCCAGGUACUAACCGUUCUGACACAUAUUUGCUACUGACAGCUUUGUGUUCUUAAAUUUUUUCCUAUAAACUGAAUAACAAAAAAUGCUCAAAUUUAGCUUUAAAAGCAGUUUAACAGUAAUAAUGUGCUUCCCUACCAAUGAGAUAGAAAGCAAGGUAUUCUAACAUAUACUUUAUUCACUAGCUCGGCCUUUAUCUCUUUAUAGCAAAAAUGGAGUCUCUGAUACUAAUAAAGCCUUUGAGAAAAGUUUAUUCUCUCCA